rnacentral:rRNA from 1 species
UGCAGUCGAACGGAUCCUUCGGGAUUAGUGGCGGACGGGUGAGUAACACGUGGGAACGUGCCUUUUGGUUCGGAACAACUCAGGGAAACUUGAGCUAAUACCGGAUGUGCCCUUCGGGGGAAAGAUUUAUCGCCAUUAGAGCGGCCCGCGUAGGAUUAGCUAGUUGGUGGGGUAAUGGCCCACCAAGGCUCCGAUCCUUAGCUGGUCUGAGAGGAUGAUCAGCCACACUGGGACUGAGACACGGCCCAGACUCCUACGGGAGGCAGCAGUGGGGAAUCUUGCGCAAUGGGCGAAAGCCUGACGCAGCCAUGCCGCGUGAAUGAUGAAGGUCUUAGGAUUGUAAAAUUCUUUCACCGGGGACGAUAAUGACGGUACCCGGAGAAGAAGCCCCGGCUAACUUCGUGCCAGCAGCCGCGGUAAUACGAAGGGGGCUAGCGUUGCUCGGAAUUACUGGGCGUAAAGGGAGCGUAGGUGGACAGUUUAGUCAGAGGUGAAAGCCCAGGGCUCAACCUUGGAAUUGCCUUUGAUACUGGCUGUCUUGAGUACGGAAGAGGUAUGUGGAACUCCGAGUGUAGAGGUGAAAUUCGUAGAUAUUCGGAAGAACACCAGUGGCGAAGGCGACAUACUGGUCCGUUACUGACACUGAGGCU